ensembl:lncRNA LINC00923 long intergenic non-protein coding RNA 923
UAUUUUAUUUAAAAAAAAAUAGAGACAGGAUCUUGCUGUAUUGCCCAGGCUGGUCUUGAACUCCUGGACUCAAGAAAUCCUCCUCGGCCUCUCAAAGUCCGGGGAUUACAGGCAUAAGCCACCGCACCCCGCCAAGAAGAAUUCUUUGGGAACCACUAGCACUCUGGAAUGCUUUACUGUAGAUAUGAAUAAGUGAUUUUUUUUAAAUACAAAAGUCAUAUUAGUAUUAAUUAGUUUUGGUGCAUUUUAGAAAAUACACGUUUUAGAAAGCUUACCCUAAUAACGGUUGGAAGACAUGCUGGAAGAGGUAGCAUGAUAGCAAGUGCUGCAGAGGGAGAGGCGUAACUGGGUUCAAAUUUGCCGCUUGCUGCCUGUGAGUCAAGCCUCACAGGUUUGCAUGGUUUGAUUAAAAUAUGGCUUUAAAGAUCUUAGCACAAAGCCUAGCACAUGGUAAGCACUCACUGUGUGGAAGCUAUUAUAUUAUUUUCAUUUUAUUAUGAUAAAUUGGGGCCGACUAGGUCAAGUCAUCAAAGUUUGGCCCACCCAUGGGAUUUGUAGACUUUUGCAGGGCUGUGCCUCCUUUCCUCCCCAGACAAAAUCCAUCACGUCAGCAGUCACAGGGCACCCUGGUUCCCUCUCUGAAUGAACUGUUAAAUGACUAAGCUGGCUCCCAACAGAGGCAGAGCCCAGCAAUAUGCGGCCUGUAAUCUGUCAGAUGAUACAGCAACAGGCCCAGUGAGGGGCCCGACACACCCCCCAGGAGAGUGGAGUCUCUCACUGCAUGUGACGUGGAAGACGCCGAAGAGGUGAGGGAGGCACCAUAUGCUGCGGGCCUGCCAAGGGAGAAUAAACAGCACCGGCAGCCUGGCACAGAGCUCUGGCGGGAACGUCCACCAAGAUCGGUCAGGCACUCUCAUGGCGUCCUCCUGGAUACAGGCUUUUGCUUUUGUUUUUAAUUUUGGAGCAGUGAAGCCGAAAGUGAGGAGUGAGGACAAGGAGAAGACCCAUUUGCUCCUGUUCAUUCAAACAGCAUCUCUUCAUUUUGAAAUUGGCAAGAGGCAGUUCGGGGCUGUGGCAGGUCCUGUACACCACCUGUUGCCUCCCAAGUCACUGUGCCUUUCUGGCUUUCUUUACCUAUGUCCUGUAAAACGCCAGCCAGAAGCAAAUGAAUAUAUUAUCUGUCCGAAGCAAGACAUGGGGCAAAUGGAUCUAUGAGUCGUGGGUGAUUGGGACUCCUCGCUCGCGUGGGGGUGUGACUGUACUUCAGAACUCAUUUUCACCGAUGCUGACAUACAAGACAGUCCUCGGAGACCUGUCUAUCAAACUGCAACAUGCUCUGCAGAAAAAUUAGAUUACUCAUGCUCAGACAGAGGGGGCGAUGGCAAUUUAGAGUGGCCCCUUAAAUGCCAAUUACACUUGUAUUUACAAAACAAAUUAAACCCACGUAUAGGACAUUGUUCA